rnacentral:rRNA from 1 species
UACGUAGGGUGCGAGCGUUAAUCGGAAUUACUGGGCGUAAAGCGUGCGCAGGCGGUUCGUUAAGUCAGCUGUGAAAGCCCCGGGCUCAACCUGGGAAUGGCGAUGGAGACUGCAAGGCUAGAGUGUGUCAGAGGGGGGUAGAAUUCCACGUGUAGCAGUGAAAUGCGUAGAGAUGUGGAGGAACACCGAUGGCGAAGGCAGCCCCCUGGGUCAAGACUGACGCUCAUGCACGAAAGCGUGGGGAGCAAACAGG